rnacentral:rRNA from 1 species
UACGGAGGAUGCGAGCGUUAUCCGGAUUUAUUGGGUUUAAAGGGUGCGUAGGCGGGCAUUUAAGCCGGCGGUCAAAUGUCGGGGCUCAACCCCGGCGAGCCGUUGAAACUGGCUGUCUUGAGAUGUCGAGAGGUAUGCGGAAUGCGCAGUGUAGCGGUGAAAUGCUUAGAUAUUGCGCAGAACUCCGAUUGCGAAGGCAGCAUACCGGCGGCGAUCUGACGCUGAGGCACGAAAGUGCGGGUAUCGAACAGG